rnacentral:rRNA from 1 species
UACGUAGGGCGCGAGCGUUGUCCGGAAUUAUUGGGCGUAAAGAGCUCGUAGGCGGCCUGUUGCGUCCGCUGUGAAAUCCCAGGGCUCAACCCUGGGCGUGCAGUGGAUACGGGCAGGCUGGAGGCAGGCAGGGGAGAACGGAAUUCCCGGUGUAGCGGUGAAAUGCGCAGAUAUCUGGAGGAACACCGGUGGCGAAGGCGGCAUCCUGGACCGGUAUUGACGCUGAGGCGCGAAAGCCAGGGGAGCAAACGGG